GGUUAGCCUUUUUUUCUAGGUCUAUACCCGAACUCAUAUCGAACUCGAGAGUCCUUAUCUAGAAAGCCACACAUACUAAUUAUUAUUGGGAACCAUGGCU
rnacentral:rRNA from 1 species